rnacentral:rRNA from 1 species
UGAGUACGAGCUGCUACGGCAGCGAAGUGGGUGAUGUCAAGCUUCCAAGAAAAGCCCUAUACCCGUUAAGGCAUGACGGCCUGUACCCGAAACCGACACAGGUGGGGUGGUAGAGAAUACCGAGGGGCGCGAGAUAACUCUCUCUAAGGAACUCGGCAAAAUGGCCCCGUAACUUCGGGAGAAGGGGUGCCACCGCAAGGUGGUCGCAGUGAAGAGGCCCAGGCGACUGUUUACCAAAAACACAGGUCUCCGCUAAGUCGCAAGACGAUGUAUGGGGGCUGACGCCUGCCCAGUGCCGGAAGGUUAAGGAAGCUGGUCAGCGCAAGCGAAGCUAGCGACUGAAGCCCCGGUGAACGGCGGCCGUAACUAUAACGGUCCUAAGGUAGCGAAAUUCCUUGUCGGGUAAGUUCCGACCCGCACGAAAGGCGUAACGAUCUGGGCGCUGUCUCGGAGAGAGGCUCGGCGAAAUAGAAUUGUCUGUGAAGAUGCGGACUACGUGCACCCGGACAGAAAGACCCUAUGAAGCUUUACUGUAGCUUGGUAUUGUGCCCGGGCUCUGAAUGCGCAGGAUAGGUGGGAGGCUUUGAUCCAUUGCUUGUGGGUAAUGGUGAGCCACUGGUGAGAUACCACUCUUUCAGAGCUAGGGUUCUAACGGUCACCCGUUAUCCGGGGACCGGACAGUAUCAGGUGGGCAGUUUGACUGGGGCGGUCGCCCCCUAAAAGGUAACGGAGGCGCGCAAAGGUUCCCUCAGGCUGGUUGGAAAUCAGCCGACGAGUGUAAAGGCAGAAGGGAGCUUGACUGUGAGACCUACAAGUCGAACAGGGACGAAAGUCGGCCUUAGUGAUCCGACGGUUCUGAGUGGAAGGGCCGUCGCUCAACGGAUAAAAGUUACUCUAGGAUAACAGGCUGAUCUCCCCCAAGAGUUCACAUCGACGGGGAGGUUUGGCACCUCGAUGUCGGCUCAUCGCAACCUGGGGCUGAAGUCGGUCCCAAGGGUUGGGCUGUUCGCCCAUUAAAGCGGUACGCGAACUGGGUUCAGAACGUCGUGAGACAGUUCGGUCCAUAUCCGGUGCACGCGCAGGAACAUUGAGAGGAUUUCUCCCUAGUACGAGAGGACCGGGAGGAACGCACCUCUGGUGUACCAGUUAUCGUGCCAACGGUAAACGCUGGGUAGCCAUGUGCGGAGCGGAUAACCGCUGAAAGCAUCUAAGUGGGAAGCCCACCUCAAGAUGAGUGUUCCCAUGGCAUAAGCCAGUAAGGUCACGGGAAGAACACCCGUUGAUAGGCUCUACGUGGAAGCGUGGCAACACGUGAAGCGGAGGAGUACUAAUAGACCGAGGGCUUGAC